rnacentral:misc_RNA from 1 species
GUCUAGCAAUAGUUAAGCGUUGAAUGGGUGUCAAAUGUGUGUACAAGUCUUUCAGAGCCUGCUGGUACUUGGUUUCUAAAGCCCCAAUCUGAUCACUAAAAUCUAGGCCAGUUUCAUCAGCCAUUCUACGCACCUCAAUAAUUCUCUUCUCCAGAUCAAUCAAUGGCUUCUCAAAAGGAAGCGUGACUGGUUUUGGUUUCUCAGCUAGUGGUUUGAAGUUAGAGAGGUAAGUCAAGUGCCCACUGCUAAUAUUGGGAUCAAUAUCAUCAGGCCAAGGAUAAUCAUGCUUCUUCCACUUCUUAACUUUAGCAAUGACACGAAAUCCACUUCCGAUUCCCGUUCUGUAAG